rnacentral:rRNA from 1 species
UUAACAAAAACAUGUCCUUUUGAAAAUAAUUUAAGGUCUAAUCUGCUCAAUGAUGAUUAAAUUGCCGCAGUAUUUUGACUGUGCAAAGGUAGCAUAAUAAUUAGCUUCUUAAUUAGAAGCUGGAAUGAAUGAUUGGACGAGAAAAUUACUGUCUCUAUUUAAUUGUUUAUUGAAUUUUAUUUCUAAGUCAAAAAGCUUAGAUUUUUGUAAAAGACGAGAAGACCCUAUAGAGUUUGAUAUUUUAAUUUCAUUUGAUUUAAGAAUUUUUUUUUGAAUUUUAAGUAUUUAGUUGGGGUGAUUUAAAGAUUUAAAUAAUUCUUUAAUUUUUUUAUUGAUGAUAAUUAAAUUGUAAAUCUAUAUUUUUAAAUUUAAUAUAAAUUACCUUAGGGAUAACAGCGUAAUUUUUCUUUAAAGCUCUUAUUAAAAGAAGAUUUUGCGACCUCGAUGUUGGAUUAAAAUUAAUUUUUGGUGCAGUAACUUAAAAAUUGGGUCUGUUCGACCUUUAAAAUUUUACAUGAUCUGAGUUUAAACCGGUGUAAGCCAGGUUGGAUUCUAUCUUUAAAUUUUUUAUAUAUUUUAGUACGAAAGGACCAAGUAUAUAUUAUAUUAAUUG